rnacentral:rRNA from 1 species
UACGGGGGGGGUAAGCGUUGUUCGGAAUUACUGGGCGUAAAGGGCUCGUAGGCGGCCAACUAAGUCAUACGUGAAAUCCCUCAGCUUAACUGGGGAACUGCGUGUGAUACUGGAUGGCUUGGAUUUGGGAGAGGGAUGCGGAAUUCCAGGUGUAGCGGUGAAAUGCGUAGAUAUCUGGAGGAACACCGGUGGCGAAGGCGGCCCUCUGGACCGGUACUGACGCUGAUGCGCGAAAGCGUGGGGAGCAAACGGG